GACGAACGCUGGCGGCGUGCUUAAUACAUGCAAGUCGAACGAGGCUUAUCCGAUUGAAAGAUCGGAGAAGGCCUAGUGGCGAACGGGUGAGUAACACGUGAGCAACCUGCCCCGAAGACCGGGAUAACAGUGGGAAACCGCUGCUAAUACCGGAUGCCCCCACCGGAUCCCAUGGUCUGGUGAGGAAAUGCCUGGUUCAUUAGAGUCAGUACGCUUCGGGAGGGGCUCGCGGCCUAUCAGCUUGUUGGUGGGGUAACGGCCUACCAAGGCGUCGACG
rnacentral:rRNA from 1 species